AUUGAACGCUGGCGGCAGGCUUAACACAUGCAAGUCGAACGAGUGGCGGACGGGUGAGUAAUGCUUGGGAAUCUAGCUUAUGGAGGGGGAUAACUACGGGAAACUGUAGCUAAUACCGCGUACCAUAGGAUGAGCCCAAGUGGGAUUAGGUAGUUGGUGAGGUAAAGGCUCACCAAGCCGACGAUCUCUAGCUGGUCGGAGAGGAUGACCAGCCACACGGGAACUGAAACCGGGUCCAGACUCCUAGGGGAGGCAGCGGUGGGGAAUAUUGCACAAUGGGGGCAAGCCUGAUGCAGACAUGCGUGGUGUAGGAAGAAGGCCUUCGGGUUGUAAAGUACUUUCAGCGGGGAGGCGUUACCCGCAGAAGAAGCACCGGCUAACUCCGUGCCAGCAGCCGCGGUAAUAC
rnacentral:rRNA from 1 species